GAUGAACGCUGGCGGCGCGCCUAACACAUGCAAGUCGAACGAUUAAAGCACCUUCGGGUGUGUAUAAAGUGGCGAACGGCUGAGUAACACGUGGGCAACCUGCCCCUUUCAUUGGGAUAGCCACGGGAAACCGUGGAUAAUACCGAAUACUUCGAGACUUCCGCAUGGAAGACUCGAGAAAGCUCCGGCGGAGAGGGAUGGGCCCGCGGCCUGUUAGCUUGUUGGUGGGGUAACGGCCUACCAAGGCAAUGAUGGGUAGCUGGGUUGAGAGACCGACCAGCCAGAUUGGGACUGAGACACGGCCCAGACUCCUACGGGAGGCAGCAGUGGGGAAUCUUGCACAAUGGGCGAAAGCCUGAUGCAGCGACGCCGCGCGCGGGAUGAAGGCCUUCGGGUUGUAAACCGCUUUCAGCAGGGACGAGGCGAAAGUGACGGUACCUGCAGAAGAAGCCCCGGCUAACUACGUG
rnacentral:rRNA from 1 species